rnacentral:lncRNA from 1 species
CGGUGAAACCCCGUCUCUACUAAAAAUACAAAAAACUAGCCGGGCGAGGUGGCGGGCGCCUGUAGUCCCAGCUAUUCGGAAGGCUGAGGCAGGAGAAUAGCGUAGACCCGGGAGGCGGAGCUUGCAGUGAGCUGAGAUCCGACCACUGCACUCCCGCCUGAGAGACAGAGCCAGACUCCGUCUCAAAAAAAAAAAAAAGAAAAGAAAAUGCCCACACUUCGGAGCAAGAAGCAGGUCCCAUCCCCCUCUGCUGACGUCACGCCUGUGGAUUGGCUGAUGGAGCUGUGAGCUCGGCUGUUGUUGAGCCGGGGGAACCGAAACUUGGCAGUCGCCAUGACUGGCUGUCCGGCGUCAUCAAGCUACCGAGGCUUCAAGCCCUUUUUCUUCUUGCCUCUACACCGCCUCCUGUUGUUGUUUCUGGUUUUGCUUGGGACCCUGGCCAACAAACUUAACGUGCCACAGGUGUUGCUACCCUUCGGCCAAGAGCCAGGCCGGGUGCCUUUCCUGCUGGAGGCGCAGCGAGGCUGCUACACUUGGCAUUCCACCCAUCAUGAUGCAGUUACUGUUGAGCCUUUAUAUGAAAAUGGCACCUUGUGUUCCCAAAAAGCUGUACUCAUUGCUGAAUCUACGCAACCGAUACGCCUCAGCAGUAUUAUUCUUGCUCGAGAAAUAGUGACUGACCAUGAGCUACGCUGUGACGUUAAGGUUGAUGUGAUAAACAGCAUUGAAAUUGUAUCUCGGGCCCGGGAACUUUAUGUAGAUGAUUCGCCACUGGAACUGAUGGUGAGGGCAUUGGAUGCUGAAGGUAAAGAACUUCAGAGGAUUCAACAAAAUUACCUAAAAUAAAGUAAUAUCCCUUUAUGUUUAGCACUUGGAAACAAAAACUUGAGUGACAAAAGUAGAUUAGAAAUAAUAUCUAUUUUCUCAUUUGGAGCUCAUAUAGAUGAAUAAUAAUUCUGAGUAUAAUUUAAUGUAUUAGCUACACAUUUUUAUAAAAUAUUCCUGCUAUUGUUAGUUAUCUGAGAACUUUUCGUUUCUUUUUUUUUUGGCGUGUUGGGG